CUGCUGCCUCCCGUAGGAGUUUGGUCCGUGUCUCAGUACCAAUGUGGGGGGUUGACCUCUCAGUCCCCCUAUGUAUCGUCGCCUUGGUGAGCCGUUACCUCACCAACUAGCUAAUACAACGCAUGUCCAUCUCUGACCACCUGAGUUUUCAACCACCGAAGAUGCCUCCGGUGAUGUUAUGGGGUAUUAGUACCAAUUUCUCGAUGUUAUCCCCCUGUCAAAGGUAGGUUACAUACGCGUUACGCACCCGUCCGCCGGUCGCCGG
rnacentral:rRNA from 1 species